CAUAUUUAAUAGAACUAGUUAUUAAUAUCACCUGCUCAAUGAAAAUUUAAAUAGCCGCAGUUAAUACUGUGCUAAGGUAGCAUAAUCAUUUGUCUCUUAAUUAGAGACUAGAAUGAAAGGUUUAACAUUUAAAUUAUUCUAAUAUAUUCAAAUAAAAAUUUAUUUUAAAUGUAAAAAAACAUUUAUUUAUAAGAAAGACGACAAGACCCUAUUGAACUUUACUGAAGUUUAACUGGGGCAGUUAAUUAAUUAAUAUUUUAAUUAUUAUCUCUAAAAAAAUGACCUUAUCUAAUAAAUUUUAUGAUCAAGCUACCAUAGGGAUAACAGCGUAAUAUUUUUUCAUAGAAUUUAUAUAUAAAAAUGAUUACGACCUCGAUGUUGAAUUAAUUAUUCUAAUAAGUACAACCACUUAAUAAGAAAGUCUGUUCGACUUUUAAAUUAUUACAU
rnacentral:rRNA from 1 species